CAUCAUAGUAACUGUCUCCCAUGGUGGUU
rnacentral:piRNA from 1 species